GGAAAGACAUGAUCAACAGCUAAACUACAAGUCACUGUAGAUGGCAUUAAGUUUGGUAAAGGUGCUCUUAGGGACGGUGUCUGGGGAGACCCACUGCACAGAAAGGCCUUCUUGGGGAGGUAAAGCCAAAGGCCCAAGACAUGAUAAACAGCCUUCUGGGCUUGCAGAACCAGCUGGGAAGAUGAGGGCACAGACUCAGGAGGAGGAAGAUGAGGGCACAGACUCAGGAGGAGGGUUUGGCAUGUUCCAGAGAGAAGAAAACUCCCAGUACUGCCUAACGGAGAAUGGUCUUCCAACGUUGAUGAGGGUGAUUUAA
rnacentral:lncRNA from 1 species